AGCACUCAGACUGUCAUUGGAAAGGAAUUGGUCUCUAAGUUCAGAAGUGUUCUACGGAAUAAAAAGACGUCUCAUUUAUAAAGAAAUGGAUUGCCGUUUAAUCUCCGGCUCGUGGAAUGAAAGAAAGAGGACUUCGAGAGAGGACGAAGUGGUUCCUUAAUCUUGCAGCCAAUAAACGUCUGCCACCAGCAUGACUGGCAGGAUGAAGAUCCAACAGUACACUGAACUGCCUUCUUUGUCAAAAUCUGGACAUUGUGGAUAAUUCUCUGCAAGUGCAGGAAAAACAACAGAUGGAACCUUGGAAAAGCAAAAUGUCAGGAAAAUGACAAAACUGUAGAAGACAAGAAGACACAGAGCAACACCAGUGUUCAUGCAGGCAAAUGAAUCACCAUAGAAGACAUACAAGAUGCCUGGUCAGACUUUUCAACCGUAACAGUCCCUUCGAGCCACUUCAGUCAGCUUGUCAUCAUUAUUUCUGUUUAGGUUUAAGUGGUAAGCAUAUCUUAAAGGUUUGUUUAUUCUAAAAAUUGACUAAAUCCUUGCUUAUUCAUUUGGAAGUAAGUAUUAAGGGUGGAGGGCACCUGCAUAUGAUGUUUCAUAACAACAGUGCUCUUUCUUUCUCUAAGCCCAAGCUGGUCUGCACUCAAUGUGUUUGUCAUUUUUGGCUCCCCCUCUCUCCCUUCCGCUUCCCUCUGGCUCCUCCCCAUUCAUCUCUCCAUUAUAACUGUCUGAUAUACAAGGCCUUGUGUUCCUUUUAAAGGGUAGAAUAAGAAAAAAAACUAUGAGAAAAGAUGUUCUUACACAGCUGACCAACUGCUGUUUUGUAAAUAACCCUAACAUGUCAUUCUUAUUGAGGCAUUAGGGGCAGUUAGUGUACUAUCCUUCCUUUCCUGGCCAUUUCUGAGAUGUCUGUCUGUGUACACUGUAAACAAGUCGUAUGCUUAGUUACAGUUUACCUUUGUGCAGUCAGAACUGUAUACACAAUGUGGAAACAACCAAAAUGAAAUACUAAUAAAUAAAAAUGAGAAAAAUAAUUGGCUCUUCUUCUUUGGAAUUCUCCUUUACUUUCUGCUGUCCCUCUGCUAACAGUCCCAUUUUCCUUUCCCACUCUCAUUCCUAUUCCCUUAGACAGUGCCCAGCUCAAGCUGGCCUCUUCCAUAUAAAAGCUUCACAGGAUUUGGACAGUAGGUGUCCUAUCAUUGCCAGAUCUAUCCCUUCUGCUCUUCACAGUGCUGCUAUGCCAUAAAGACAAAAGGCUUUAUUACCACUCACCAGUUGUAGUCUUGCCUCCCCUUCCUUUCUCACCCAGUUCCCAGCCUCUUCUUCUUCUUCCCAGCAAUCCCUGCAUAGGGCACUCCCAUGUAGGUUAAAAUAGCAGGGGAGAUUCAAAGGACUGUACCACUGAAUGGUAGCUCAGCUGUUUGCAUAGUGCUUGUCCAGACAAGCUGUCACACUGCUCCAUUCAGCAUUUAGCCCCCAAGGGCUUUCCAGUAAUUAAACACAAGAUAAUAAGUUCUUAGAGGUCACUAACGAAAUGUCUUCACCUACUUUAUUAUAAUCAUAAUAGCCAGUGUCAAAAAAAUACUGAACAACUUGAAAGGUCUAUUAUAAUCAUAAUAGCCAGUGUCAAAGAAAUAUUGAACAACUUGAAAGGUCAUAUGCAAAAUCAAAAACAAAAUAUUCCUCUAAUGUCAGUCUGUGUGAUUUGGUGGCUAAAUGGGUGCUUGAAUGGUGAGUAGUAGACACUUCUAUUUGGCGUUAGAAGAAAAGGGUGAAUGACAGCAGCUGGUUACCAGUUUAGAGCUGCCAAAUGCUCAUGUAUGAGUGGAAUUCACAUGUUGCCAAAUCAACCAGAUCCAUGCAGUGGCUUUCUUUAAAAGUAAAGAUAUAUAUAAAUUCAAAUGUAAAGCUUUUUUCAAGGAUCAUUUCAUGCCUGGGUUUUUUUUUAAGUGGUGCUUAUUUGCCACCUGCCACAAAUGGAAUCAGUUGCUGAAAUCUGACCAACCGGUCUGAAACUUUGCACCUGUUAUCACAGAUUAGGCGUGCUUUUCAGCAUGUGGGCUACACACAAAAACCUAUUUAUUUUAAGCAGUGCAUGCAGCUCUGAAGACAGAUAUCUCUGAACAGAUAACACAAACGGAUAAAAUGAAGCCUGCCAACAUGUAAAAAUUCUGGUUAAUCAUAUUGUAGAACUGAGUAGAUAAAAUCAACACGAAAAAAUCUUGCAUAACUACUUGUUACAGCUUCAGACCUUUGGACCAUGCUUAUGAAUAAUAAUGAUUUGGUAGGCUACUGGUUAUGAUUUCUUGUUAAAAAAAGUAUGGUGUAUUUAAUUCCUGGAGUGGUUCAUAUGGGACUUUAAGGUAUCUUAUUGAAAAAUCAGAAAAUCUCCCUUUCCUUAUUUAUACCCGGAAUCUAAAAACAAAAAAAUGCCCUUUUUCUGUCCAUCCUCUAACAUUGUUGCACCCUAAUGUUAAUGUUCAGAAUUCAUUACAAUUUCUAUUUCAAGUGUCAAAGACUUCAGUUAUUACAGGAGAAUGUGGGCAUGUAGUAUCAGGCUUUGUAGGCUGAUAGAUGCAGAGGACAGAAAGAUAUGAAAAAAGAUGAUCUGCUGUGGCAACCCCUAAUGAGAGCAGCCAAAAGAAGAAGAAUCAAACAUGUCCAUUAUUAUUCAUUUACAAUGAACUGAGCAUAUUCAUUUUUGAAUACAGAUGUACAAAAGCCCCUUUGUGGCACAACACUACACCAAACAAUGUUGUGUGAAAUUCACAUGACCUCCCUGUAUGCCAGUGGGUUACUCAAGGGGAUCUGAUUAGCUUCCAUAGUUCAUGCCUGAUAUGAUAACUGGAGAAUUGCACUUAUAUAAACAUGGAUGUUUAUGUUCAUCUUUCACUGCACUGGCACAGAGACUCCAGAAACUCGUGCCUUGAUGUGUCCAGUUUAGGUGCUGAACUCUAAGUAUUCUUCUUCAUGAAGGUUUCUUGAAAUUAUUACAUAUUGUAUAAAUCAUGUUUUUUAACAAAUUAAAAAAAUAUUUUAUAUUAAAUUGGUUGAAUAGAAUCCUCUAUUAGUAGCAUUUUGGUCAGACAUGAAAGUAAGAAAUUUGUGUACUCUGUAAAUGAUACAGUAACUUUGAACUUGAAAAUUGUAUUAUGUCAAUCAAAGGAUAUUGAACUUUUUAUAUAUAUAUGUGUAUAGAGUAUAAAUGUAUAACAACUCCCAUGCUAAAACCAAACUUAAUUUUAUAUUUUUCAAAAUGGUUGAAUCCAGAAAACAUGGAAACAGAAUAACCUGUUAUCCAUCUUAAUAAAAGGACAAGUG